ACGAACGCUGGCGGCAGGCUUAACACCUGCAAGUCGAGCGAGACCUUCGGGUCUAGCGGCGGACGGGUGAGUAACGCGUGGGAACGUGCCCUUCUCUACGGAAUAGCCCCGGGAAACUGGGAGUAAUACCGUAUACGCCCUUUGGGGGAAAGAUUUAUCGGAGAAGGAUCGGCCCGCGUUGGAUUAGGUAGUUGGUGGGGUAAUGGCCCACCAAGCCGACGAUCCAUAGCUGGUUUGAGAGGAUGAUCAGCCACACUGGGACUGAGACACGGCCCAGACUCCUACGGGAGGCAGCAGUGGGGAAUCUUAGACAAUGGGGGCAACCCUGAUCGAGCCAUGCCGCGUGAGUGAUGAAGGCCUUAGGGUUGUAAAGCUCUUUCAGCUGGGAAGAUAAUGACGGUACCAGCAGAAGAAGCCCCGGCUAACUCCGUG
rnacentral:rRNA from 1 species